rnacentral:rRNA from 1 species
UACGUAGGUGGCAAGCGUUGUCCGGAUUUAUUGGGUUUAAAGGGUGCGUAGGCGGGCUAUUAAGUCAGUGGUGAAAGCCCCAAGCUUAACUUGGGAACUGCCAUUGAUACUGAUGGUCUUGAGUACAUUUGAGGUGGGCGGAAUGUGUCAUGUAGCGGUGAAAUGCUUAGAUAUGACACAGAACACCGAUUGCGAAGGCAGCUCACUAGACUGUAACUGACGCUGAGGCACGAAAGCGUGGGGAGCAAACAGG